UGUACCGAUACCAAUAUCUUUAUUUUAGAACUUUGUUAUAUUUUUUUGUUUUGGUUUAGUUUUCUUACAGUGCUGGGGAUGGAAUCCAGAGCCUCACACAUGCUAGACAACUGCUUUACCACGGAGCUACGCACCUAGCCCCUUGCCUCGGUGUACUUUUAAAACUUCCUGAAAAGGUCUUGGGCAUUCUUUCUUAUGUUACUUCCUAUAUAACCUGUACUUUUGGUCUGUAGUUUUAUUAUGAAUUUUUAUUUUUUGAUAUAUUAGGGAAAGAAAAGUCAGAGUGGUGAGUGGGUUUCUCGCUGGCACAAAGGAGGUGAUCAUUGGAGAAGAGUGUAUUUCACGGAGGAGGAAGUUUUGGUGAUUGAAACUAGGGUCUCACUCAUCCUAGGCAAGCCUUUACCGUGGAGCUACAUCCUCAGACCAAUGGCACAAACUUACAUCAAUUAAUCUUUAUACACUGGUUUUCUUUUUAAUUGUUGUGGUGCUAGGGCUGGAACUCAGGGCCUCACACCUUGCUAGGCAAGUGUUGUGCCCCUGUGCUACAUUCUCCAAUCUUUAUAUACCAACAUACUUCACUUGCAUUGUGGUCAUGUUGCUUUUGCUGGGCACUUGAAGAACACAGUAUGUAUAUAACAGAGCAGUGAAAGAUAGGUUUAUAUUCUUUCAGACAAUCCCUUAAGCCUUAGCUCUUACCAGGAUGAUAGCUCUUACCAGAAUGAAGCAGUGGGUGGAGGAUUAAAAUAUCAAAGGUACCUUGGGUCAUGAACUUAAUUUGUUCUACCAUUCUGGAAAAGAUGCCACGUUUGUAUUUGUGUG
ensembl:lncRNA